CAGUCGACAUUCUCAGCUGACUGUUCUAUUGGCGAUUUCCUGUAUUUGUUUAAUAUCAUUUUCGAAACGAGAUCGACAUUUUCGUUCCACGUCUCGAUAGUGUCUCGGAAUGAAAUGCAUAAAAUUGGGGAUGCAACAGGAAAAAUAUCAGAAUAAACCAGGGCAAGUAAAAGGCGUGAGCCCCGUCAGAUUCCACGUGUGAUGCUUUGUAUUCAGGAAAGGUAAAAGAAAAUGGAGUCAGUUUUUAUUUAUUUUUUUUUUUUAGAUGCCAAAUUGUAUUUUUUCUUUUAAAGGAUUACAUGUUUUAUCGUUUUAUUUACACAUGUCUUUACCAAACUCAUUGCUGUUAGACAAAAUCCUACUUUUAUUUUUAUUUUUUAAAAUCUUUUCUUCUUCUGACUUAGGAAGAUGCCUCGACAACGGUGUUGAUGCCUUGCAUGGUGGCAGUCCAAGCUUGGCGGGCUUCUGGAGUGAAUUCUCCUCCCAAUUUGGCAGCCAAGAAGUCGAUCAAGACCUUGGACAAGUUCUGCAUUUUGGAAUUCAUUGUAAAAUUGAUAAAUUUUUAGUCCAAUCUUUUCUGCUCACUUCAUUUUCAGGGCAUUCAAAAUUUGAAAAGCUUUUACUUACAUCGAAAUGGGCACGGGUUGUUCCACGUCCUUUGUGUUGAUUAGCCAAAUCAACAAGUUGGGCAUUCAAGGCAUCCGGAUUUCCCAUGCAGCCGAUCAAUUCCGACAAUUUGGUCAGCACGUUAACCGACAAGGUCUAAUUGUGAGUUAAUAGUUGUAAAGAUAAUUGAUGAUAUCCAAUUGAAAAUGCUGUGUUGCACAAUAUCAGUAUAUACUUACUUUCAAUGCAGCAUUGUUCAAUAGUUCUCCAGCGGGGACGUUGGCAAUGGUUGGGAACAUGGGCUGAUAUUCCGGAUGGGCAGUCAACAAUCUAUCAAGAAGAUUUUGAUUGCAAUCAAAAUUAAGUACUUAUUGUUUCUAAAUUGCUAUGGUACUCACGCCACAUAGAAAUGAGGAGCAUGAGUAUUCAAGUCUUUGUUGACGAUGGCCCAGGUGUUCUGGACGGCAGAAACGUUGACGGUCUUCAGGGUGUCCAUUUUAUUUAGUUUAUUCUGUUCAAAAUGUAGGAUAUAUAUUUAUAAAUUUUAUAUUACUUUGAUAACACUAAAUUUGAAUUGGAUUUUCAAAUAGGGAAAAUUGAAAAUGUUUUAUCAAAUAAGAAUUGAUUUUUUUUUUUUUAAAUGCCAAACUCACCCUUUGGUUAGUUAGCUGCUGCUGUGAGAAUCUGACUGCUGACUGAUGAUGAGUUGAUGGGUAAGACAACCGGCUUUUAUAGUAGGACUUACUAUAUUUACAACGAGGAGGAGGGACUUCACGUGGAAGACUUUUUGAAAAAAAGGACGCUGUCCUAGUCACGUAGGCACGUGACGGGAAACGGAGCCAAUGACAAAUCGUCUUAAAUAUUUGGCUACGAUUUGGUCAUGCGCCAGUGGCGAAAUAUAUAGGCCCAUUUUAACCUUUCUUUAGAAUUUGCAGAUGAAUGACUUGUCUCUUUUUUCCCCUUCCCCUUCUCCAUAGUAUUGGCAUGGCUUUCAUUUGCCAAAAGAACAGAUAGCGGGGUGAGAACAAAAAAGCUUGGCUGUCAAACCGGAACCCAUUGCGAGCCUACGUGAAGGGUAACACGUAUACCAGAUAACGCAAAAUGAGGUGUAGUGCCCUCCGGCAUAAAGCCGGCAGGAAAUCUCCAGUUGUCUUCGUUCACUCUAUUGAUUCGGUGCAACAAGGUCACUCUUCUUGUUCAAGUGAAAUCAUUUGUGUCUAAUGCUUGCACCAAGUAUAAUUACUUUUAAUGACGAGUUGUUCUCGUCUCUUGACUUUGUACAGAAUUCCUUCUGGGAUUUACUUGUCGAGUAAAUUUGUUCGGCAUAGACAACAGUUUCUGUAUCGAUAGUGUAUUUUUCUCUUUUGUAGACUAGCAAAUGCACGUUGAAUAGCAUUCCAUCACCCAAUACUUUUUAAACCAUUAAAUCGAAAGUUUUUCAUUAGAUUGUCUAUCAAGAAGCUUGACAGAAACAGCCAAAGGCAUUGGCUC